CAAUAGCGUAUAUUAAAGUUGUUGCGGUUAAAAAGCUCGUAGUUGGAGUUCUGCCAGGUGCCGCCUGUCCGCCCCAGUGGUGAGUACGUGGCGCGCAUUUGGCCCUUUCAAGGGGAGCGUAUCUGCACUUUAUUGUGUGGUGCGGGAUCCUUGACUUUUACUUUGAGGAAAUAGGAGUGUUCCAAGCAGGCUCUCGUCGUGCACAGCUCAGCAUGGAAUAAUAGCAUUGGACCUCGAUUCUAAGCUGUUGGUUGCCAGAAGCGAGGUAAUGAUGAAGAGGGAUAGUUGGGGGCAUUCGUAUUUAACUGUCAGAGGUGAAAUUCUUGGAUUUACUAAAGACGGACUACUGCGAAAGCAUCUGCCAUGGAUGUUUUCAUUGA
rnacentral:rRNA from 1 species